GACGAACGCUGGCGGCGUGCCUAAUACAUGCAAGUAGGACGCAGUUGCGAACGGGUGAGUAACGCGUAGGUAACUACCUAUUAGAGGGGGAUAACUAUUGGAAACGAUAGCUAAUACCGCAUACUAGUAGAUGGACCUGCGUUGUAUUAGCUAGUCGGGAGGGUAAUGGCCUACCUAGGCAACGAUACAUAGACGACCUGGUUAGGUGAUCUGCAAAACUGGGACGGGGUAACGGCCCAUGCUCCUACGGGGGGCAGCAGUAGGGAAUCUUCGGCAAUGGGGGGAACCCUGACCGAGCAACGCCGCGUGAGUGAAGAAGGUUUUCGGAUCGUAAAGCUCUGUUGUUAAGGAAGCGUUACUUAACCAGAAAGGGACGGCUAACUACGUGCCAGCAGCCGCGGUAAUAC
rnacentral:rRNA from 1 species